rnacentral:rRNA from 1 species
GACGAACGCUGGCGGCGUGCUUAACACAUGCAAGUCGAACGAUGAAGCCUAGCUUGCUAGGUGGAUUAGUGGCGAACGGGUGAGUAAUACGUGAGUAACCUACCUUUAACUCUGGGAUAAGCCUGGGAAACUGGGUCUAAUACCGGAUACGACCAAUCUCCGCAUGGGGUGUUGGUGGAAAGCGUUAUGUAGUGGUUAUAGAUGGGCUCACGGCCUAUCAGCUUGUUGGUGAGGUAACGGCUCACCAAGGCGACGACGGGUAGCCGGCCUGAGAGGGUGACCGGCCACACUGGGACUGAGACACGGCCCAGACUCCUACGGGAGGCAGCAGUGGGGAAUAUUGCACAAUAGGCGCAAGCCUGAUGCAGCGACGCCGCGUGAGGGAUGACGGCCUUCGGGUUGUAAACCUCUGUUAGCAGGGAAGAAGAGAAAUUGACG